GAUGAACGCUGGCGGCAGGCCUAACACAUGCAAGUCGAGCGGUAGCACAGAGAGCUUGCUCUCGGGUGACGAGCGGCGGACGGGUGAGUAAUGUCUGGGAAACUGCCUGAUGGAGGGGGAUAACUACUGGAAACGGUAGCUAAUACCGCAUAACGUCGCAAGACCAAAGUGGGGGACCUUCGGGCCUCAUGCCAUCAGAUGUGCCCAGAUGGGAUUAGCUAGUAGGUGGGGUAACGGCUCACCUAGGCGACGAUCCCUAGCUGGUCUGAGAGGACGACCAGCCACACUGGAACUGAGACACGGUCCAGACUCCUACGGGAGGCAGCAGUGGGGAAUAUUGCACAAUGGGCGCAAGCCUGAUGCAGCCAUGCCGCGUGUAUGAAGAAGGCCUUCGGGUUGUAAAGUACUUUCAGCGGGGAGGAAGGCGACAAGGUUAAUAACCUUGUCGAUUGACGUUACCCGCAGAAGAAGCACCGGCUAACUCCGUGCCAGCCGCCGCAGUAA
rnacentral:rRNA from 1 species